rnacentral:lncRNA from 1 species
CGCCAAAAGUUUUUCCAGAGGAAAAUUCUUCACUGUUCUCCCUUCAGGAUAAAUGCCAGGCUGCCAGGUAUCUUGUCAUUUGUAAUUUAAAAAACAAUGACAACUUUGAAAAAUAUUGGUCUUUCCUGUGUCUCUGCUUUUUUUUUUUUUUAGGUCCUUUCUAGUGGUCUAUGUCAGAGGAGCACUUUCUGA